UGUGUGAGCUCAGGCAAAGCCCUUCCUUCUUUGGACUUUGGCCCCUGGCAGAAGAAAAUGAUUCUCAGCCCCUGGGAUCCUUAGAGAUGGUGGGUCAUGAUUCCCCUCCUCCCUCCACUCACUCAGCUUGGUAUUGAGGCCUCACUGCUAGAAGAAGAGGAACAGAUGACCUGUUCUGGGAACUGAGGCUUCACAAGAAGAACAAAGCUCCAGAGAUUGAGCCAUAGUCCCUGACAGGAAGCCUCGGGGGUGCUGGCUGCUCCCUGCUGGCCGGGAUGCCAGUGGUGUCUGAAACCAGGGGUAGAGUUUACAGGAGGCCGGGCUGCUCAGGAGAGCUAGAAUGAAGUUCUCUGUCCUCAUGGUCUCAGAUCUGAGCUCUUCCCCAAAGGGUGGUGACUUCCAUCACCCUGCUUCUUUGGGGUCACAGUCUGGUCUGGGUAAUGUGAACCCCCCAGGCUUUGGACCUGGGACUAAGAGGCUCUAGGAGGCUCCAGCCUCAUCUGCCUCCUAUCCCCUGCCUUGUUCAGAGGCCCAGAGCUGGGGCCGGAAGUGAUCAUGAAGAUGGAAACUGUGG
rnacentral:lncRNA from 1 species